AUAUCCACCGCUUCUCAGAAACCUGCCUGUUGCAGAAAGGGAAGUCAGCUAUCCCUGUGGUUAUAGAAUCUUCUCCAUGUUUACUGCCCUAGUUAGUUGAGUGCUUUCCUACACCUAAAGCUUCCAAUACUUAGGUCAUUUUGGAUUCCAUUGUUUUGCAAAGGGGUCAAGAGCAUGCUUUCUUCAAAUACUGGAAGUUCUUCUUGUGCACAUAUGUGAGAGCUUCCCUAGGGUACCUAUCUAUGAGUGAGAUUGCUGGAUCGAAAGGAGUUUCUUCACAUGGCUUCCGAAGAAGUGACCGUUACAGUUCGCCUCAUUCGUUCCUUUGAGCAUCGCAAUUUCAAACCUGUAGUAUAUCACGGAGUUAAUUUGGAUCAAACUGUAAAGGAAUUUAUAGUAUUUCUAAAGCAAGAUGUCCCUUUAAGGACCAGCCUGCCACCACCAUUCAGAAAUUAUAAAUAUGAUAAACUAAAGAUUAUUCAUCAAGCAUAUAAAUCAAAGACAAAUGAACUUGUGUUGAGUUUGGAAGAUGACGACAGACUCCUGUUGAAAGAAGACAGCACUCUGCAAGCAGCUGGAAUCGCCAAUGAAACUGAAAUUGCAUUCUUCUGUGAAGAAGAUUAUAAGAACUUCAAAGCUAAUCCCAUUUCAUCCUGGUGAAAACGGCACGGGCUUCCUUUUUGCAUACCUGUAUUAAGUUCUUUAUUCCACUAGUGAGUUUUUGAAAUUGACAAAUAAACUUAAAAAAUUAAUCCCAGGCUCUACUAUUUGAGCUAAAAUCGGUGGUGUUUUUUUCUCUCUGCAGGUCUCAUUUUUUCUUUCUUUCUUGUU